AUACUUGGCAAGGUCGGACGGAACUCUGGUAUUGAUUGGUGCUUGCAUCAUGAUUUACAUUUGAGUGAGUGGCGAACUGGUGAGUAACACGUGGGAAACCUGCCCAGAAGCGGGGGAUAACACCUGGAAACAGAUGCUAAUACCGCAUAACAACUUGGACCGCAUGGUCCGAGCUUGAAAGAUGGCUUCGGCUAUCACUUUUGGAUGGUCCCGCGGCGUAUUAGCUAGAUGGUGGGGUAACGGCUCACCAUGGCAAUGAUACGUAGCCGACCUGAGAGGGUAAUCGGCCACAUUGGGACUGAGACACGGCCCAAACUCCUACGGGAGGCAGCAGUAGGGAAUCUUCCACAAUGGACGAAAGUCUGAUGGAGCAACGCCGCGUGAGUGAAGAAGGGUUUCGGCUCGUAAAACUCUGUUGUUAAAGAAGAACAUAUCUGAGAGUAACUGUUCAGGUAUUGACGGUAUUUAACCAGAAAGCCACGGCUAACUACGUGCCAGCAGCCGCGGUAAUACGUAGGUGGCAAGCGUUGUCCGGAUUUAUUGGGCGUAAAGCGAGCGCAGGCGGUUUUUUAAGUCUGAUGUGAAAGCCUUCGGCUCAACCGAAGAAGUGCAUCGGAAACUGGGAAACUUGAGUGCAGAAGAGGACAGUGGAACUCCAUGUGUAGCGGUGAAAUGCGUAGAUAUAUGGAAGAACACCAGUGGCGAAGGCGGCUGUCUGGUCUGUAACUGACGCUGAGGCUCGAAAGUAUGGGUAGCAAACAGGAUUAGAUACCCUGGUAGUCCAUACCGUAAACGAUGAAUGCUAAGUGUUGGAGGGUUUCCGCCCUUCAGUGCUGCAGCUAACGCAUUAAGCAUUCCGCCUGGGGAGUACGGCCGCAAGGCUGAAACUCAAAGGAAUUGACGGGGGCCCGCACAAGCGGUGGAGCAUGUGGUUUAAUUCGAAGCUACGCGAAGAACCUUACCAGGUCUUGACAUACUAUGCAAAUCUAAGAGAUUAGACGUUCCCUUCGGGGACAUGGAUACAGGUGGUGCAUGGUUGUCGUCAGCUCGUGUCGUGAGAUGUUGGGUUAAGUCCCGCAACGAGCGCAACCCUUAUUAUCAGUUGCCAGCAUUAAGUUGGGCACUCUGGUGAGACUGCCGGUGACAAACCGGAGGAAGGUGGGGAUGACGUCAAAUCAUCAUGCCCCUUAUGACCUGGGCUACACACGUGCUACAAUGGAUGGUACAACGAGUUGCGAACUCGCGAGAGUAAGCUAAUCUCUUAAAGCCAUUCUCAGUUCGGAUUGUAGGCUGCAACUCGCCUACAUGAAGUCGGAAUCGCUAGUAAUCGCGGAUCAGCAUGCCGCGGUGAAUACGUUCCCGGGCCUUGUACACACCGCCCGUCACACCAUGAGAGUUUGUUAAACGACCCCCAAAA
rnacentral:rRNA from 1 species